UACAGAGGGUGCGAGCGUUAACCGGAAUUACUGGGCGUAAAGCGUGCGUAGGCGGCUUUGCAAGUCGGGAGUGAAAUCCCCAGGCUUAACCUGGGAACUGCAUUCGAGACUGCAUUGCUAGAGUAUGGGAGAGGGAAGUGGAAUUUCCGGUGUAGCGGUGAAAUGCGUAGAUAUCGGAAGGAACAUCAGUGGCGAAAGCGACUGCCUGGACCAAUACUGACGCUCAUGUGCGAAAGCGUGGGGAGCAAACAGG
rnacentral:rRNA from 1 species